rnacentral:rRNA from 1 species
GACGAACCGAGCGAACGUUGUUCGGAAUCACUGGGCUUAAAGGGCGCGUAGGCGGGCUGCCGCGUCCGGGGUGAAAUCCUCCCGCUUCACGGGAGAACGGCCUCGGAUACGGGCGGCCUCGAGGGGGGUAGGGGCGUGCGGAACUGUGGGUGGAGCGGUGAAAUGCGUUGAGAUCCACAGGAACUCCGGUGGCGAAGGCGGCACGCUGGACCCCAUCUGACGCUGAGGCGCGAAAGCCAGGGGAGCGAACGGG